UUACACAAUAACAAGGCGGGCUGGACACCCCCCGCUGGGCACUGCUUCACGGCGUGCGCGGCGGGGCCGGCCCUGCUGAAUUAUUCACCCGUGUCUUUUGCGUACUUCUUGUUUCCUGGGUGGGCUCGCCCGCCCUCAGGACCAACCACAAACCUUUUGCAAUAGCAAUCAGCGUCAGUAACAACGUAAUUAAUUACAACUUUCAACAACGGAUCUCUUGGUUCUGGCAUCGAUGAAGAACGCAGCGAAAUGCGAUACGUAGUGUGAAUUGCAGAAUUCAGUGAAUCAUCGAAUCUUUGAACGCACAUUGCGCCCUUUGGUAUUCCAAAGGGCAUGCCUGUUCGAGCGUCAUUUGUACCCUCAAGCUUUGCUUGGUGUUGGGCGUCUUUUGUCUCCAGUUCGCUGGAGACUCGCCUUAAAGUCAUUGGCAGCCGGCCUACUGGUUUCGGAGCGCAGCACAAGUCGCGCUCUUUGCCAGCCAAGGUCAGCGUCCAGCAAGCCUUUUUUUCAACCUUUGACCUCGGAUCAGGUAGGGAUACCCGCUGAACUUAAGCAUAUCAAUAA
rnacentral:misc_RNA from 1 species